UCAAAGAUAUUAAGGACUUCUACCUUACUCACUGCCCCAAAAUCUUCCCCCAGAAACACUGUCCAAUAUUUCCUUAUACUACAAAGAU